UACAGAGGAGCCAAGCGUUGUCCGGAAUCACUGGGCGUAAAGCGCACGUAGGCGGAUUGCUAAGUCAGGGGUGAAAUCCUGGAGCUCAACUCCAGAACUGCCUUUGAUACUGGCGAUCUUGAGUCCGGGAGAGGUGAGUGGAACUGCGAGUGUAGAGGUGAAAUUCGUAGAUAUUCGCAAGAACACCAGUGGCGAAGGCGGCUCACUGGCCCGGUACUGACGCUGAGGUGCGAAAGCGUGGGGAGCGAACAGG
rnacentral:rRNA from 1 species